rnacentral:lncRNA from 1 species
CAUUGUAGUAAACAACAGAUUUAAAGGCUAUACACGUCCUAGUUUACACUAACACGUCCUAGUUUACCUAAUAAACCAAAUUGAAGAAAAAAUUUUAAAAUAUGAAUUGAAUUUAGGUUAUAAAAAAAUGAAGAAUAGAGAGAAAAAGGGAUUGUUACCGCAGAUUGAAGCUUGUUAUCGCAGAUUGAAGCAAAUUUGGAGAAUGAUAAAGGAGUCGCCGUCUAGGGUUUGGAGAAUGAUUGAAGAAAUUGGCGAUUUGGGAAUGAAAAUUGGAAAGAAAUUAGGGACGAUGGCGAUUUGAGAAGAAAUUGGGAAGAAAUUUGGGAAUGAUGAAGAAUGAGAAUGAAGAAUGAAGAAAUUAGGGACGACGGCGCUUUUGUGUGUUCUCGCGUUCGCGUAAGGGAUGGGAGAAUGGAGAAUGGAGAAUGAGAAUGAACAAAUUAAUUAAUUAAUGAACACUAAUAGGAUACCACUACCGGUGAAUACCAAAUCAGUAGUGAAAUCCAAUUAAAACAAAUUUCAACGUAAUUACAACAUUGCCACCGUGUCUACUUUUCACUACUGAUUUAAGAAAGCCAGUAGUGAAAUCCCUUGUCUAUGAACUUUUCACUACCGNUCCUUUGGUCAAAUGUAUUUCACUACUGGUAUUCACAUACCAGUAGUGGUAUCUCUAAACCAAAAGUCAUUUUUCUACUAGUG